UCACAACUUCCCUUUUCUUCCCUCUCCCUCUCUCGUUUAUCUUUCCCCACGAUCUCCAAACCUCGCCUCUCUCGAGUAAACGAAAACCCUAACUCAGUCACAACUAUAACCACCUUUACUUCCAAAACGAAGACAGAAGAAUCCCCGAUCUUCUUCUUCUCAUAUAUGGAUGUUUUUGGUAACAAAAUCGACUUCAUCUGAAAUCGCUCAUCUCUUGUGUAAAAAAAUCACUCUUCUCUUUGUCUAAGCUAUCGACUUCAUCUGAAAUCGGUCAAGGGUUUGCUCAAGUCACUGUGUUUUCAUUACUCUUUCUCUAGCAGAUGAAGAUUGAUGAACAAGAUGAAGGAUGAUGGAACUUCUAAAAGAGAACAUGCAGUCAUGGAGAAGAUUAAAGAAGCACACAGGAGAGUGAUGGUGGCUAACCAUCCUCACAAGGGUGGGAGCAUGUAUCUCACUAAAAAGAUCAACGAGGUUGAGGUACUUUUGAUGGAUGAGGGUCGAUUUCAAUUCUUUCCAUGUGAAGCUAGGGUUUGCUGUUAGGAUUGACAGAUGCUGAUGAUCCUAUUCCCAGAUCUAGUAAUGGCUUGUCUGAAGAAAUUUCUUUUAAGAUUCUGAAACAGGAAGUUAUAUCCAGAAAUGUAUUGGUUGAUGAAUGUUCAAGGCAGGUUGUCGAGGUGGAGCAAGCAGCCAUGUGGAAGUUUCUUUGGUGGUCGGGAAUCAUAGCUGUCCAUGUUAUGGUUGGCCAAAACAUAGAUGAUCACUCGAAACUUUUCUCCAUCACUUCCUCAAGCCUUUGUCUUUUAUUUCCUUCUUGGUUUGCGGGAUGAGUUCAGCUUGUUGAUGUACUUUAUGCUGAGUGUUUGCAUUUGUCUCUUUGUGAAGGAAGGACUCAUGCUGGUUGUUGCAACAAUCUGACAAGAUAUAUGCUGGAGCAUUUUGACAGUGAUUCAGUGAUUCGAAUCACAGUUUGAUUCUUCACAAGACUAAACUUUGUGCUCCUUCACUUGCUCCAUUCAAGGCUUAUUACGAAGGGAACUUUUGGGGUGCCAAAACAAUCCCAAGCACAACAUGAUAUGCUUAACAUGCUGAAGUCAAGGCUCUUCUUGUAGCCACACUAUGGGUUAACGAGCUGGAACUGCAGUUUACUUCAAAGGGGGCUGAAUCAUUCUGAAGAUGUAUGCUAUGCUAUCUAGUGUUCAAAUCACCAUAGUUAACUAUUGCUGUUAUAGUGGUCUCUGUCAAGUUUUCUAGAUUUUUGGUGUAGUUAGUGUCAGUAUUAUUCGGAAAAAAAUAUUGUCUUUAGGUUUCUGUUAGUAUUAUUUUGUAACAUUUGAUAAGGUCUUAUUUGGAAUAAAAUUUCUGUUAACUCUGGG